AUAAACCACGAUAAUAACCUCGGGACUUAUUAACUUUGAAUGCAUGGUGUUGGUUGCAUCAUCCGUAUUUUCAAAUUCCCACAUUCAAAAGACCCGCCUUUGGUGAAGGCAAAGGUAUUGUGCUAUUCUCUCCGAGGGGCGGAUUCCUUAUCAGCCUUUUCAGUGUAUGUGAUUCUAACUAAGUCUUAUAGAUCCGCCGCUCUGUUCUACCUAUACCAUGUAAACAGUGAACAUAGGAUUUCUGUGAUUCUGUUCUUUUAAAAUUCAGUGAAUGGAUUAGACGCCGUUUUCAACCUUUAAAAACCCGGUGACUUGAAAAAAAAUAAAUUAAAACUUGUACCGAGAAUGGAAUUUAAAUGUGAUUAACAUAUUGAAUAUGGGUUUGUAUUAAAGAUUCAAAAAUUAAAUAUAAUUUGUGUUUAUUUCUUUUAAAAUAUAAAUAUUUCAUUAUUUAAUGAGAUAAAGUAAAAAUUCAGGAAAAAUACUUUUGUAACCUCGACUUGAAUGUUUUGAAAACGUUUUAAAAACCAAACAAAUUAAACGUGAA